rnacentral:rRNA from 1 species
AGUAAAAGUCGUAACAAGGUUUCCGUAGGUGAACCUGCGGAAGGAUCAUUACAGUGUGGCUGCCCUCGCGGGUAGCAACGCCCACCCGUGUUUAUCAUAUCUUGUUGCUUUGGCAGGUGGCGCCCGGCGACGGCCGGGACGUGCCUGCCAGGGGACCCCAACUCUGAAUUUUAGUGUCGUCUGAGUACUAUAUAAUAGUUAAAACUUUCAACAACGGAUCUCUUGGUUCUGGCAUCGAUGAAGAACGCAGCGAAAUGCGAUAAGUAAUGUGAAUUGCAGAAUUCAGUGAAUCAUCGAAUCUUUGAACGCACAUUGCGCCCCUUGGUAUUCCGGGGGGCAUGCCUGUUCGAGCGUCAUUUCAACCCUCAAGCUUAGCUUGGUAUUGAGUCUAUGUCAGUAAUGGCAGGCUCUAAAAUCAGUGGCGGCGCCGCUGGGUCCUGAACGUAGUAAUAUCUCUCGUUACAGGUUCUCGGUGUGCUUCUGCCAAAACCCAAAUUUUUCUAUGGUUGACCUCGGAUCAGGUAGGGAUACCCGCUGAACUUAAGCAUAUCAAUAAGCGGAGGA